UGCCAGCCGCCGCGGUAAUACGGAGGGUGCAAGCGUUAUCCGGAUUUACUGGGUUUAAAGGGUGCGUAGGCGGGUCAAUAAGUCAGUGGUGAAAUCCUGCGGCUCAACCGUAGAACUGCCAUUGAUACUGUUGAUCUUGAAUAUAGACGAAGUGGGCAGAAUGUAGCGUGUAGCGGUGAAAUGCUUAGAUAUGCUACAGAACACCAAUUGCGAAGGCAGCCUGCUAGACUAUUAUUGACGCUGAGGCACGAAAGCGUGGGUAGCGAACAGGAUUAGAUA
rnacentral:rRNA from 1 species